rnacentral:tRNA from 2 species
GGGGAUGUAGUUCAGUUGGGAGAACGCCUGCUUUGCAAGCAGGAGGUCGCCGGUUCGACCCCGGCCAUCUCCA